AUGAUGCGAAGCGUAACAAGAGGGAGCGUUGCCAAUAUGUACCUCGUGGUCACGCCGUCAGGCCAACUCCUGCAGGUGUGGAGGAUGCUGGAUAACAUAGAUGUUCCGCUCAAGAAUCGUCUGUCAUACAAAGACAUCGUGCGCUUCGCGCUCCAUGGUUGCAUUGAUUUGGCAUACAAGAAUGGCAGCGACAAGCACACUGAAACCACGGUCAAUGACCAACAACCGAUUGAUGUUGAGGAGGAUGAGCUGCCUGAUAAUGAGGUCACCACAACGGAGGUCCUAGUCUUCAAGGUUGACACGGAUAGGCAGAAACUGAUAGAGCUUCGGGACAUUGGAGACUGCAUGAUCUUUCUUGGGUUCAAUGCCGCCGUGUGCCUUUCCUCUAAGGACACAACAUUAGAACCAAACUGCAUCUAUCUCACAGACGAUGUCGACUCUCCAUCAUAUCACCCCAUGUUGCGGAAAGAUCUUGGUAUCUGGAACAUCAGGAAGAGGAGUAUGCAGAGCAUUCGUGAUGCGUGGCCAAUUAUGCAUUCUAGGCUAGAUUUACCGGCUUCAAUUUGGAUCACACCAAGUUUAGCUACCGGAGCAGAAAAACAAUACUAG
rnacentral:rRNA from 1 species